rnacentral:rRNA from 1 species
CCUACGGGGGGCAGCAGUGGGGAAUAUUGGACAAUGGGCGAAAGCCUGAUCCAGCCAUGCCGCGUGUGUGAAGAAGGCCUUCGGGUUGUAAAGCACUUUCAGUGGGGAAGAAAGCCUUGGGGCUAAUACCCUCGAGGAAGGACAUCACCCACAGAAGAAGCACCGGCUAACUCCGUGCCAGCAGCCGCGGUAAUACGGAGGGUGCGAGCGUUAAUCGGAAUUACUGGGCGUAAAGCGCGCGUAGGCGGUCUGAUAAGCAGGUUGUGAAAGCCCCGGGCUCAACCUGGGAACGGCAUCCGGAACUGUCAGGCUAGAGUGCAGGAGAGGAAGGUAGAAUUCCCGGUGUAGCGGUGAAAUGCGUAGAGAUCGGGAGGAAUACCAGUGGCGAAGGCGGCCUUCUGGACUGACACUGACGCUGAGGUGCGAAAGCGUGGGUAGCAAACAGGAUUAGAUACCCUGGUAGUC